rnacentral:rRNA from 1 species
AGACGUCUACAUUAGAUACCCGGGUAGUCCCAGCCGUAAACUAUGCGCGUUAGGUGUAUCGGUGACCACGAGUCACCGAGGUGCCGAAGGAAACCGUGAAACGUGCCGCCUGGGAAGUACGGUCGCAAGGCUGAAACUUAAGGAAUUGGCGGGGAGCACAACAACGGGUGGAGCCCGCGGUUUAAUUGGACUCAACGCCGGGAAGCUCACCGGAUAGGACAGCAGAAUGAUUGCCGGGCUGAAGACCCUGCAUGACUAGCUG